rnacentral:rRNA from 1 species
AUUGAACGCUGGCGGCAGGCCUAACACAUGCAAGUCGAACGAGUGGCGGACGGGUGUGUAAUGUCGUGGAAACUGCCUGAUGGAGGGGGAUAACUACUGGAAACGGUAGCUAAUACCGCAUAAGGACGGAUGUGCCCAGAUGGGAUUAUCUAGUGGGUGGGGUAAUGGCUCACCUAGGCGACGCUGCCUACCUGGUCUGAGAGGCUGACCAGCCACACUGGAACUGAGACACGGUCCAGACUCCUACGGGAGGCAGCAGUGGGGAAUAUUUCGCAAUGGGCGAAAGCCUGAUGGAGCCAUGCCGCGUGUAUGAAGAAGGCCUUCGGGUUGUAAAGUACUUUCAGCAAGGAAGCGGUACUCGCAGAAGAAGCACCGGCUAACUCCGUGCCAGGAGCCGCGGUAAUUC